GGAGGGAAUGCUGCGCCCUCUGGUGGCCAAAAGCCCCAGCCUUGCAAGAGGGUUUCCCGGGGCUGCCUAGGCCAGGAGUCGCCGGGAGUAGGAGACCCCUCAUCUGCAUGAGGGGCAACAGAUAAAUGCCUGGGGUCUUUGUUAUUCCUUGCUCUUGUGGUGGUGAAGAAAGGGGCUGCUCUCUUAUACUGCUUAAGGUGGAUGGCAUUCAGACAGUCUGCACUGAGGAAGCAAACGGGACUUAAGCCUGAUGCCCAAGCAUGGUGCAGCUCCAUGAAGUCUACUGCUGUCUGGAGGCUUCGGGAGGGAGGUUGAAGGAGGCCCAGUGAUGACACCCUAAGAGGCAGACCUUCAGGAGAAGCAGCAGCAAGAUUCAGGGAGGGCCUAACCAGGGAGAUGUGAUGGAAGACCAGAGGCCUUGCGUGAGUAGACAUACAGAAAAGGACAGGGUGCAGAUCAUCAGCAACUGUGCCUGGACAGAUGUUUGCUACAGAGAUGAAGAAGCAGGGACAGCAAGCCCUGAGCCCUACUCUCCAGACCCAGAAUACAGAAUGGUUUAGAGGGGCACAGAAGGUGGCAGGGCAUGGGAAGAAUGGGGUGCAAGUACCAGUUGAGGUCUCCACCUCACUGAGCUGUGCUAGGAGUGGUUUUCUUGAGGCUGAAGUUGGUCCAGUUGACAGCAACUUUCUGACGAGUUUGCUUUGCAGAAUCCAAACAGAACCUAUUGGGUUUAGGAAAUAUGGGUAAAACACAGUGAUAGGUUCUCUCCUGUCCUCACUGGACCCCACCUCUAGAUAAAACAUGUCUCAUUCACAGAAACCAACUGGAACCCAGAGUGGUGGUGUACACUGUAAUCCCAGCACUCAGGACUGCUGUGAGUUUGAGGCCUGGGCUACAGCAAGACUCUUUAAAAAAACAAAAAGAAAGAAACAAGUUGGCUCUAAGUAGACACUGUGGCUUCCAAGUGUUUAACAGGCUGAGAACUGCCCAUGAGGCCAGGGGACAAUGCGAGACAACUGCUGUGAGACACAAACUGUCAUCAUCUCUGCCUUACCCUUGCUCUACUGACCUGGUUUUUACCCUCAGACUUCUGUAAACACUGACCCACCCACUGUUACCACUUGACCUGGUGAGCUCAGCUCAGUCUUAUCCACCUUUCCCAGAAAGGACUCCUCCACUAACCUCCAGGUUGGUGUGAUGGCCACCAGCAUGCCUUUAUGUCUCUACAAGCAUGGAUCAGUGGGCUGUGUAUUUCUGAACCUCUCCCUGUCUAGACUGUUCCUAGAUCUUGACUCACUAGAAACGAAGUACAAAUAAAACCUAAGCACUUGGGAAUCAGAAAA